rnacentral:lncRNA from 1 species
GGGCCGAAGAAGCCCUGGAGGGGGAGAGGGGAGCCGCUCUCGACUGGGCUUGCGGCGUGGGAGGGACAGUGAGGGACACUUAGGGACUGUGUGGGGCAGUGAAGGAUAGUGUGGGAUGAUGAGGGACCGUGUGGACCGGUGAGCGACUGUGUGGGACAGUGCGGGACGAUGAGAGACGGUGUGGGACGGUGAGGGACAGUGCGGGACGAUGAGGGACAGUGAGGGACUGUGUAGGACAGUGAGGGACAGUGUGGGACGGUGAGGGACUGUGGGACAGUGAGGGACUUUGGGACUGUGAGGGACUCGGACAGUGAAGGAUGGCAAGGGACAGUGUGGGACAGUAUGGGACAGUGGACAGUGAGGCACUGUGAGGGGCGGUGAGGGACAAUGAAGGAUGUCAAGGGACAGUGUGGGACAGUGGACGGUGAGGUACUGUGAGGGGCGGUGAGGGACAGUGUGGGACUGUGAGGGAUGGCGAGGGACAGAGUAGGACAGCAAGGGAGGAUGAGGGGACAGAGUGGGCCGGCGUGGGGCGGUGAGGCUACGCGGGGGGAACCCAGGGCUCCUCUGACUGCGUUGGAAUAUGGAGGAAAGGUCCUGCUCGAGGUUGAGCCCUUCAGGGUCGCUGUGGGUUUCCAGGAGGAGCUCCCUCACUACUGACUUAGGGGGCCCUCGGCUUCCCAGUGUAAGAAGAAGCUGUCUUUGGAGUGAGAACAAGGGUGAGGUUCUGGCUCAGAAACCUUAGAAUCACAGACACUGUUUUCCUGAAAACAUUGCUUCUUUCUCUCAUCUCAAAGAAAUGCCACAAGUCGUGUGUUUCCCCACUGCGAGCCCUUCGAGAACAAUGUCAUGUUGAUCGAUGGCAGUGACUCACACCAGAUCUUUCCAUGCCUCCUCUGCAAGGACUCAAGAGAGUCGAGAGCAAAACCGUGCCAUAGUUCCAUAAGGAGGGCAAAGAGCUUUAUCCACGCUGAGGAACAGGCGGAUCAUGCGGCUACAGCACUGGUCUUUACCUUUUAACUGCUUGAUUCGAAACAUUCCAGCCAGGAACAGUGGCUCACACCUGUAAUCCCAGCACUUUGUGGGGCCAAGGCAGGUGGAUUGCUCGAGCUCAGGAGUUCGAAACCAGCCUGGGCAACCUGGCAAAACCUCAUCUCUACAAAAAAAUACAAAAAUUAGCCAGGCCUGGUGUGUGUGCCUGUGGUUCCAGCCACUCGGCAGGCUGCGGCCAGAGGAUCACUUGAGCCCAGGAAGUGGAGGCUGCAGUGAGCUGAGAUCGUGCCGCCACACUCCAGCCUGGGUGACAGAGCCAGACAUUGUCUCUAAAAAAAAAAAAAAAAGAAAAGAAAAGAAAGAAAAAAGAGAAAUAGUCCAAGACUAGGGAGAAAACCUUCUUUGGGGUCAGUGUGAACCAUUCUUUCAUUUGUUCAGCAAAUGCUUACUGAGGAGCUACUGUGUCCCUGAAAUUGCCUCCACCUCCAAGAAGACAGUGGUGAGCAAGUCAGACAAUACCUCUAAUCUCAUGGUAUUUAUAAGUAAAUGGGCCGUUAAAAUUACCAGAUCAGAAGUGCUGUGUUCAGCAAAUAGAGGCUCAUGGGAAACUCCUAAGAAGGGCUUCUGAGCUGGACUUGGGGGUCAGGAAAGGCAGAAUGAGGGGGCUGACUCAUCCAGACUGGGGCGGGGUUGCCGGGGGUGCCUCCCACUUACUAUCUGUCUCCUUCUAGACUGACUUCUCUGUCAUCAUGAAUACACCCCUUUAAGACAUACAUUUAAGAGAAAAUAAGAGGAUGCCUUAUUUAUUUAAAGGUUUGUUACAGUUUUACUAACAACCACAUACCUAAAGGAAAGUCGCAAGUAGAGCUCAAAAACUUUUUUCUCUGGGGCAGUGAAGAGUCAGUUGCCAGCCAGAAGGCCCACUGAGCCUGAGCACUUCAGGGUGUGCUUCCUACAGAUAAGGACAUCCUCCUGCAUAACAGGAAAGGGGUCCUGAUCCAGACCCCAAGAGAGGGUUCUUGGAUCUCGCACAAGAAAGAAUUCCGGGUGA